rnacentral:rRNA from 1 species
AUGGCAACUAGCAGCCCGUCGCCUCUGACGGUGAUCCCUGCCCACCUCCUGGUUGAGAUCUUCCUCCGGCUGCCCACCGCGGAAGACCUCGCCCGCGCCUCCGCCGCCUGCGUCUCCUUCCGCCGACUCGCCACCGACAGGUCCUUCCUCCGCAGCUUCCGCCGCCUCCACGCACCACCACUCCUCGGAUUCCUCGACUACGGCAGGUUCCGUCCCGCUCUGCCGCCGCACCCAUCCGCGCCCGCAGCCCGCGCGCUCGCCGUCGCC